ensembl:lncRNA
UUUAAAUCAAAUAAUCACAUUAUUGAAACUUUUUAUGCCCGGGUGGUACAUAUAACAGCUCAGCCUAGGUAACUUAGCACAGGCAAAUUGUACCCACUUUUAUGACACGUGUCAAUCACUACAAGAACCUGCCCUGGGAAGGGUUCUAGUGUCAAGCGGCCUCGUCUGCAGCGCUCAGAGGCUGUCUUUUGUCUUUAACUAAUUACAGAUUCAGACACAACAUUGCUUGCAUAAUAAGCAACCCCCAAUGGCACAGCCUCAACAGACCUCAACAAAAGAAAAGUCAAAGGCACGCUGCAAACAACUUAUAUUUCCAGCUAACUGAAACAAGGUAUUGGUCAUCAGUGGUGAUGAAAGUUGGAAAUACAUUGAAUGUUAACUUUAGUACCAGAACUUUAUCCACUUCUCACCCCCUGAGAGUGAAAGCACAGGAGGGUGGGGAGCAGCGGGGCCUGGGCUGUGCUAAUUUGCAAUCAGACACUCUCUUUGAGUUCUCCUUCUUCUCCUUCUAUGCCCCCAGACAGUGUAAAUGGCAGCUGAGACAAAGCUCCCAUUCUCUCCAUGAGGGCCCUCUUAGUUUUAUUUCAGGCCAGUGCUCUCAGACAGGGCAUUCUGGGAAAACUUGGAGAUGGCAGUGGCAAAGGGGGUGGGACCCAGAGAAAGAGAGAAAGACGGCAAGAUCUUGUGGCAGCACCCAACCCUAACUGCCAAGGGGCAUGCCGCAAUGCCACACCCUAAACACUUAGUAAUAUUCUAAUGAACAGGUUUAGAGAUAAACAUUAGCUGUUAGUUUAUUCGCAAUAUUUUAAAUUCAAGUUCAUGAUCGUUGUUGUCAUCUGGAUGGUAGUCCUGUAGUGAACUCCUGCAGUUAUCAUCUGAAACGCAAGACUACAGUGCAGAAUAUGCAACUUGUGACUUGCAGUACAAUUCUGGCGGGCUCUGGCACUGAUCGAGAGCGGGAAACAAGAUGGCGGGAAUAGCGCGAGGAAACACGGCGCUUGCGGCUCACGGUUAUAGGGCGGCGGCACGUGGAGUCAGGUUGGUGAAAACUGUCCAGCAGCGACACCGUGUGGAUCAAGUGUGUAACUGCAUGCCCGAGGAAACGCGACAGAAGGCAUCAGUAAAGGCUCCGGCUCCGUCCAAACUUCCGUACUACAGGAGCCUGGAGCCUAUCCCAGGGAAUUAAGGGCACAAGGCAGGGGAUACCAUGGACAGGGUGCCAACCCAUGAGGAAACCGGAAGAAACCCCUGAAGCAUGGGAGAACAUGCAAAAUCCACACACAGGACAGAGGCAGGAUUCAAAUCUUCAACCCUGGAGGUGCGAGGGAAACACACCAACCACUAAGCCCCUGUGACCCCCCCCCACCCCCCCACCCCCGAUAAUAAUAAACUGUUUUGCCUUCGUUUGUUUGUGGUAUAUAAUCCGGUACUCUUGUUUUGUGCUUAUUUUGUGCUACCUGACUUCCAACUCUCUCUACCUGACUAAUUAAUAUUCAUAUAGUGAAAACUGAUCUUGCCAGACAUGUCAUUGAAUAAAUCUCAAAACGUUUUUGAAUUUAUGGACUUUUUGAACUGACUGACUGACUGAUUGACUGACUGACUAUCUAUCUAUGAUAUGCUUCACAGAUAUUUGUAACUGCAAAACAUGUUACAAAAAUGUCUUGUAGUUUCAUCUGCUCUCAAUUAAUGAGAACGUUUGGUGUGUUAAGACCUUUUUUAGACUGUAUUUUUUUUCUUUUUUAUUUUAUGUAACAACUUUACAGAAAGCUGAGGCUACUAAAGUUUCAA